UUGAGACCGGCGCACGGGUGCGUAACGCGUAUGCAAUCUACCUUGUACAGGGGGAUAGCCCAGAGAAAUUUGGAUUAAUACCCCAUNGUAUAUUNNNGNGGNNUCAUUUGNNUAUUAAAGUUCCAACGGUACAAGAUGAGCAUGCGUCCCAUUAGCUAGUUGGUNUGGUAACGGCANACCAAGGCAUAUGAUGGGUAGGGGUCCUGAGAGGGAGAUCCCCCACACUGGUACUGAGACACGGACCAGACUCCUACGGGAGGCAGCAGUGAGGAAUAUUGGUCAAUGGGCGCAAGCCUGAACCAGCCAUGCCGCGUGCAGGAUGACGCAUCUAUGGUGUGUAAACUGCUUUUGUACGGGAAGAAACCCCUNCGUGGUGAGAGUUGACGGUACCGUAAGAAUAAGGAUCGGCUAACUCCGUGCCAGCAGCCGCGGU
rnacentral:rRNA from 1 species